GUCUACAGACAUACUACUCUGAACACACCUUAUCUUGUCUAAUCUCAGAAGCUAAGCAGGUCAGGCCUGGUUAGCACUUGGAUGGGAGAAAUGGAUUGCAAUUUUGUGGCAA
rnacentral:rRNA from 1 species